CUCUCCUCCCGGUAGCUGCCUGGAGUGUCCGUCUGCCCCCUCGUGUCAGCGGCCAUCGCGGGAUCUGGCCCGUAGUCCUACCGCGGGUGGGGUCCCGGCCCUGCAGACCGCAAAGGGCUGCAGGCGGGCUCACCACCAGGGCGGCCCAGAAACCCUCUGCCCCUACGCAUUAGGCAGCAGGGCGAGGGCGCAGCCCGCGUAGUCUGUCUUUGCAAGUCGUCUUAACCGUGGAGGCACCGUCCGUCUGCGUCACCCGGUGUAAGCGGCGCCUCGCAGCCACCAAGUGACACUGUCUGCACGGCGGUGGGCAGUUGGUUGCUGGACCGUUACAGGACAGCGAAAAACCUCUGUCCUAACAUCAGGGCUCUGGACUGCUUCUGGAAUUGCCCAGUUUCUAGUAUUGCCGGACCCAAGUAUUCCAAAAUCCCACGUGGCUUAAAAAUCACAGGCCUCUAAAAAUAAUAGCAUUAGAAACUCUUUGGUGCUUUUUGGUUUCCUUCUGGUUCUUGAACCUUUGAAAGGAGGUCCCAUUUUCAAGAUUUUCUCUGCAAGCCCAAAAACUGCUCUUUUAUUUAAUAAAUAACCUGAGAUGGUCAUGGCUGACAGAUGGGACUUCAAGAUGACCUCAACGUCGUGUCCUGCUUCUGCUCUUCGUGCUCACUUAAGUCUUUCCUGGUCCUUGCCACUGAAUGCCUCCAUGCAUUAAGUUGUGCCCUAUCAAUGCAGGAGGACUGCAUGAGCUCGGAAAACCUGUCAUCGUGGAGGACACUGGCAAUGGAUGGUCCGUCUUAGGAUCUCUGGAACAUCGGAGGAUCUGGCUGUCUUACUGCCGAAGCAGGAGAUCAACAGAUUUGAGCUGACGGCAAGCCUUCACUAGAUCCUUUGGGGGAUUACAGGAAUCAGGUAAGUAUCAGAGUCCUUGACAGAUGUUAGUAGCCAAAGUCUUGAUCCGAUGCUGUGCAAAAAACCUGGACGUGGCUGCCUCGAUGAUGGACAGCCCCUGUGUCAUCGCUGACAGUUCCUUAUAUGCUCUCUGUGGUGUGCCUUUCUGAGGCACACUCACAGGCAUACUCUGACAGGCACACACCAGUUCUAGCCAGUUCUCAGUCCCUCAAGUUCUGCCUGGAAACAAGAGUUUUGGUGGAAAAAUGCCAUGAAGAAGGGCACCAAGAUGGAGUUCAAACCCUCCCUAACAUAUGCACCAUCUUGAAAUUCUAAUCUCCAUUUUGAAUUGCAACCACAUUCCUAACAGAAUAUAAUCAUGUACCAAAAACCACCUUGCACCAUAUAGUUAUCUGGGCAGGUAUUUGGUUACAAGAAUUUACACAUUUUAUGAAAUAGAUGAUAAACUCAAGAGAUUUACCAACUUUGGAACAAAGUGUGAUGGAGCUUAUAAAUUCAAAUUGCUGCUUGGCUCUGGAUUUAAAGAGUUUACAGCACACCUUUGUUGUACAGGCUAAUUCACCCUGCAGAAAAAAUAUACAAGCUUCAGUCAUAUAUUCUAUACAGCUUGUAAAGUGUGCAAGCUGAAUAGUAGCAUGGGAUUUUCCCUUUCUUAAAACAGAUUAAAUGCAAAAAAUCCUAAAAAUGCAAUAUUAAACUUGUGUAAUUUAUCUUUGAUCAAGAAUCCUGAGCAAGCUUAUUUACUGACCGUGGUCAGAAAGCAAAUUAUUGGUGCGUUAGAAACAUUUUAACACAAAAAAUUUCUUAGUGAAACCAAUGGCUCAGAAAUUUCAAUAGAAGUUCCUGCCAUGUUGGCAUGCAAGUACAUGAAUUCAAAAGUGGAGAUCUGUUCAGAUGGUUUCUUUGAAUAGGUUAUUGAAGAUUUAUUGUUUGUAUUUAAUACAUACCAUUAAAUACACACAUGCAAUAUGGACAAGGUAGCAUUACAGUGUAAACAAUGUAAGAAUAUUCAGAAAUAAGUGCCUAAUUGUUAGGCUUUCAAGUCCAUACUUGGGGACCUAAACAAAUGACCUUAUUUUCAAAGUGACUGCCACCCAGAAGCUCCCAUUUGGGUACCUAAAUAUGAACUUGAGAGCCUUGUAGUUUUGAAAGUCUUGACCCUUAAGAUUUUGGAAUUCAUGCAUUUAAAAAAAAAGUUUUAGCUGUCAUUAUGGUAGUAGUGCAGACCUUCUGCUUAAUGUAUGACCAGGGCCGGCUCCAGGCACCAGCAUUCCAAGCUGGUGCUUGGGGCGACAUUCUGCAAGGGGUGGUAGUCC